GACGAACCGAGCGAACGUUGUUCGGAAUAACUGGGCUUAAAGGGCGCGUAGGCGGGCUGUCAAGUCUGGGGUGAAAUCCCGCGGCUCAACCGUGGAACUGCCUCAGAUACUGACGGCCUCGAGGGAGGUAGGGGCGAGCGGAACGAAUGGUGGAGCGGUGAAAUGCGUUGAUAUCAUUCGGAACUCCGGUGGCGAAGGCGGCUCGCUGGACCUUUUCUGACGCUGAGGCGCGAAAGCUAGGGGAGCAAACGGG
rnacentral:rRNA from 1 species